AUACGGAGGGUGCAAGCGUUAUUCGGAAUCACUGGGCGUAAAGGACGCGUAGGCGGGUUGGCAAGUCAGAUGUGAAAUCCUACAGCUUAACUGUAGAACUGCAUUUGAAACUGCUAACCUAGAGUAUGGGAGGGGGAGAUGGAAUUAGUGGUGUAGGGGUAAAAUCCGUAGAUAUCACUAGGAAUACCGAAAGCGAAGGCGAUCUCCUGGAACAUAACUGACGCUAAGGCGUGAAAGCGAGGGGAGCAAACAGGAUUAGAAACCCUAGUAGUCC
rnacentral:rRNA from 1 species